rnacentral:misc_RNA from 1 species
GGAUGUUGCUAGUAAAGCUGGGCUACAGUUGAGUGAAGCUCAGAAAGCUUUGCAAGCUCUGGCUGCUGAUACAAAUGGCUUCUUGGAGGUGUCAGAUGAAGGUGAUGUCCUGUAUGUAUUUCCUAAGGAUUAUCGUUCAAAUCUCACUGCUAAAUCAUUUAGGAUGAAGAUUGAGCCUUUGCUGGAGAAAGCAAAGCUUGCAGGUGAAUACUUAGUGAGGGUUUCCUUUGGUACAACACUAAUUGCUUCGAUUGUCAUUGUCUAUACAACCAUAAUUGCUAUCCUCUCUAGUAGAAGUGAAGAAGACAAUCGGGGAAGACGAGGCAGAUCUUAUGACAGCGGUUUCUCAUUUUACUUCAGCCCAACCGAUUUAUUUUGGUAUUGGGAUCCAUACUAUUAUAGGAGACGACGAGUUCGCAAAGAAAGUGGUGGGAUGAACUUCAUUGAAUCUGUAUUCUCCUUUGUAUUUGGUGAUGGUGAUCCAAAUCAAGAAAUUGAAGAGGAGAGGUGGAAGUUGGUAGGGCAGUAUAUAUCAUCAAAUGGUGGCGUUGUUGCUGCUGAAGAACUUGCUCCCUUUCUUGAUGUGGAGACUCCUAACAAAACGGAUGAUGAGUCAUACAUCCUUCCGGUGCUUUUGCGGUUUGAUGGUCAGCCAGAAGUAGAUGAGGAAGGAAAUAUCUUGUACCGGUUUCCAUCACUUCAGCGUACAGCUACUCCACAAAGGAGUGGAAGGAAGGAGUAUGUAGGAAAAAGAUGGACUGACUGGGUUGGACAGGUUGAAAGAUUUCUUCAAGAGAAGAAGUGGCAAUUUAGUAAAACAAGCUCAUCGGAAAGGGCAUUGGUCAUUGGAUUGGGUGGGCUCAAUUUGUUUGGAGUCAUUGUUCUUGGUACCAUGUUGAAGAACAUGACAGUCAGUCCAAGUAGCUUCAUCUCAUUUGUAUCAGAGAUAUUUCCGUUACUUCAGAUCUAUGCUGGCUCAUUUUUCACCAUUCCUUUGAUCCGAUGGUUUCUUGUUCAAAAGAGAAAUGGUGAAAUUGAAAGAAGAAAUCGAUCCAGGGAACAAUAUGCACAAGUACUUGAACGACCCGAUGUCUCACUGCGGAGGAAGCUCCUGAGUGCCCGGGAUAUGGCACAGAGAACUUUUAUUGGCCAGGAUCGAAUUGUUUACAGUACAGACAGGGACUUAUAUGAGCAAGAUUAUGAUGCACAACAAUGGGAGAAAAGAUUCCGAGAAAUUGAAAAGUCUGAAUAGAUGGUGUUAUUUAAAGGUGUUUUGUAAAGUCUCGAGUUUUAUACACACAGAGACUCCGAUAAGUUAUACCUUUCAAUGCCUCCAGACACGACAUAAGGCAGGCAAAGCUGCAAGUCCACCGACCACAACAGAAAACGGAGCCGGCAAGGUCUGGAUCUGAAUGCAGGUCCUGGAGCUGUGGACUUGGAAGGGAAAGAAGAGUCAGUUUCGUUGGUAACGAGGCAACUGGACGAGCAUGGGAGGAUGUAUCCUGUAGCUGGAGGUCUACUGAAGAGGAAGGAACCCGAGGGAGGAUGGGACAGUGAGAGCUACAGGUUCAAGCAAUCACCGUGGCAGUAGGAAUGCAAAAAAACCUGCAACUUGGCGAUCUUGAAGUUGUCAAAGGAUGGACUAUGGUGGGCUCCUCACAAGUAUCAGCUUCUAGUAUGCUCUUGUGGUUGUGUGAUGUGACCAAUGAUGUGUUCAGUCCCCAACCACUAUUUCUCUCAAUGUAUGAAAGGAAGGAGGAUUUCAAUGGGUUUGUGAGCACUUUUGUCAACCGUAUUGUCUGGGUGGAGACAGAUGAGUCUUCCCUCUGUAAAUAUUUUAACUGUUGGAAGGCUUGAGAUCUGCAACACCCGGCAACUGCGGAUAAGUUGUCUUAUCGUUGGCCAAGAUAUUGCCAGUGGAGGUUGGAUUUCUGGACAGAGUAAAAUGGAAUGCCUUCUAUGUUCUUUGUUGCUAAUGAUCUUUCUUGCUCCCUACUUUCUUGGCUGUUCUCUCCUCUUUUUUGGCAAUUACAUAAGUAUAAAGAGGUUGACACCAAAUUUUGGUACUAAAGUGUCCACCUGCCAUGCUUUUAUUUAAUACAGCUGCAUUGUACCUUAAAUUCACUUGGUUCCUA